AAAAAAAACUGUCAAGAAAGUAUGCUUGUGAUGCUGAUAUUACCAGCUUAUUUAUACCAGCAGAAAAGAAAGAGAUGGAGUUUGUUGAUAAUCGGAUUCGGACCUCAAGAUGAAGUCAUCAACCGAAUGUUGGAGUUUGAGAAAAGUCAAUCGGACUUGUAAUUUUUUAAUCUAAAAGUGAUUAGCUAUUUUAUAUAAGAGUAGAAGUUGAUGAAUAAACUUUAAUAAUCAAGCCACUAAUGUUAUUGAUUACUCUCUUGGAUAUUACUUAAUUUACAAUUUCA
rnacentral:lncRNA from 1 species